GCGGCGUGCUUAACACCUGCAAGUCGAACGGUGAAGCGGGUGCUUGCACUCGUGGAUCAGUGGCGAACGGGUGAGUAACACGUGAGUAACCUGCCCUCCACUCUGGGAUAAGCGCUGGAAACGGCGUCUAAUACUGGAUACGACCGACCCUCGCAUGAGGUGUUGGUGGAAAGAUUUAUCGGUGGUGGAUGGACUCGCGGCCUAUCAGCUUGUUGGUGGGGUAAUGGCCUACCAAGGCGACGACGGGUAGCCGGCCUGAGAGGGCGACCGGCCACACUGGGACUGAGACACGGCCCAGACUCCUACGGGAGGCAGCAGUGGGGAAUAUUGCACAAUGGGCGAAAGCCUGAUGCAGCGACGCCGCGUGAGGGAUGACGGCCUUCGGGUUGUAAACCUCUUUCAGCAGGGAAGAAGCUUUUGUGACGGUACCUGCAGAAGAAGCACCGGCUAACUACGUGCCAGCAGCCGCGGUAAUACGUAGGGUGCGAGCGUUGUCCGGAAUUAUUGGGCGUAAAGAGCUUGUAGGCGGUUUGUCGCGUCUGCUGUGAAAAUUCAGGGCUUAACCCUGGACGUGCAGUGGGUACGGGCAGACUAGAGUAUGGUAGGGGAGACUGGAAUUCCUGGUGUAGCGGUGGAAUGCGCAGAUAUCAGGAGGAACACCGAUGGCGAAGGCAGGUCUCUGGGCCAUUACUGACGCUGAGAAGCGAAAGCAUGGGGAGCGAACAGGAUUAGAUACCCUGGUAGUCCAUGCCGUAAACGUUGGGCGCUAGGCGUGGGUCUCAUUCCACGAGAUCCGUGUCGCAGCUAACGCAUAAGCGCCCC
rnacentral:rRNA from 1 species